rnacentral:rRNA from 1 species
GAUAAACGCUGGCGGCGUGCCUAAUACAUGCAAGUCGAGCGAACGGACGAGAAGCUUGCUUCUCUGAUGUUAGCGGCGGACGGGUGAGUAACACGUGGAUAACCUACCUAUAAGACUGGGAUAACUUCGGGAAACCGGAGCUAAUACCGGAUAAUAUUUUGAACCGCAUGGUUCAAAAGUGAAAGACGGUCUUGCUGUCACUUAUAGAUGGAUCCGCGCUGCAUUAGCUAGUUGGUAAGGUAACGGCUUACCAAGGCAACGAUGCAUAGCCGACCUGAGAGGGUGAUCGGCCACACUGGAACUGAGACACGGUCCAGACUCCUACGGGAGGCAGCAGUAGGGAAUCUUCCGCAAUGGGCGAAAGCCUGACGGAGCAACGCCGCGUGAGUGAUGAAGGUCUUCGGAUCGUAAAACUCUGUUAUUAGGGAAGAACAUAUGUGUAAGUAACUGUGCACAUCUUGACGGUACCUAACCAGAAAGCCACGGCUAACUACGUGCCAGCAGCCGCGGUAAUACGUAGGUGGCAAGCGUUAUCCGGAAUUAUUGGGCGUAAAGCGCGCGUAGGCGGUUUUUUAAGUCUGAUGUGAAAGCCCACGGCUCAACCGUGGAGGGUCAUUGGAAACUGGAAAACUUGAGUGCAGAAGAGGAAAGUGGAAUUCCAUGUGUAGCGGUGAAAUGCGCAGAGAUAUGGAGGAACACCAGUGGCGAAGGCGACUUUCUGGUCUGUAACUGACGCUGAUGUGCGAAAGCGUGGGGAUCAAACAGGAUUAGAUACCCUGGUAGUCCACGCCGUAAACGAUGAGUGCUAAGUGUUAGGGGGUUUCCGCCCCUUAGUGCUGCAGCUAACGCAUUAAGCACUCCGCCUGGGGAGUACGACCGCAAGGUUGAAACUCAAAGGAAUUGACGGGGACCCGCACAAGCGGUGGAGCACGUGGUUUAAUUCGAAGCAACGCGAAGAACCUUACCAAAUCUUGACAUCCUUUGACAACUCUAGAGAUAGAGCCUUCCCCUUCGGGGGACAAAGUGACAGGUGGUGCAUGGUUGUCGUCAGCUCGUGUCGUGAGAUGUUGGGUUAAGUCCCGCAACGAGCGCAACCCUUAAGCUUAGUUGCCAUCAUUAAGUUGGGCACUCUAAGUUGACUGCCGGUGACAAACCGGAGGAAGGUGGGGAUGACGUCAAAUCAUCAUGCCCCUUAUGAUUUGGGCUACACACGUGCUACAAUGGACAAUACAAAGGGCAGCGAAACCGCGAGGUCAAGCAAAUCCCAUAAAGUUGUUCUCAGUUCGGAUUGUAGUCUGCAACUCGACUACAUGAAGCUGGAAUCGCUAGUAAUCGUAGAUCAGCAUGCUACGGUGAAUACGUUCCCGGGUCU